UAUAUUUGCUGCUUUGAUGAAAACUCAUCAAUAUACAUAAUAAUCAUUUAAAUAAUAUUGGAAUG
rnacentral:ncRNA from 1 species